rnacentral:rRNA from 1 species
UACGGGGGGGGGCAAGCGUUGUUCGGAAUUACUGGGCGUAAAGGGCUCGUAGGCGGCCACUCAAGUCGAAUGUGAAACCUCGAGGCUUAACCUCGAGCCUGCAUUCGAUACUGGGCGGCUAGAGUCUGGUAGGGGGAUCUGGAAUUCCUGGUGUAGCGGUGAAAUGCGCAGAUAUCAGGAGGAACACCGGUGGCGAAGGCGGGUCUCUGGGCCGUAACUGACGCUGAGGAGCGAAAGCGUGGGGAGCGAACAGG